UGGGGAAUAUUGCACAAUGGGCGCAAGCCUGAUGCAGCCAUGCCGCGUGUAUGAAGAAGGCCUUCGGGUUGUAAAGUACUUUCAGCGAGGAGGAAGGCGGUAAGGUUAAUAACCUUAUCGAUUGACGUUACUCGCAGAAGAAGCACCGGCUAACUCCGUGCCAGCAGCCGCGGUAAUACGGAGGGUGCAAGCGUUAAUCGGAAUUACUGGGCGUAAAGCGCACGCAGGCGGUCUGUCAAGUGGGAUGUGAAAUCCCCGGGCUCAACCUGGGAACUGCAUUCGAAACUGGCAGGCUAGAGUCUUGUAGAGGGGGGUAGAAUUCCAGGUGUAGCGGUGAAAUGCGUAGAGAUCUGGAGGAAUACCGGUGGCGAAGGCGGCCCCCUGGACAAAGACUGACGCUCAGGUGCGAAAGCGUGGGGAGCAAACA
rnacentral:rRNA from 1 species